rnacentral:tRNA from 1 species
GGGGAUGUAGCUCAGUGGUAGAGUACUGGACUAGCAUGCUCAAGACCCUGGGUUCAACCCAGUACCCCCA